GAGAGCCUAAAUCAAGGCCACUGUUUUGUGACAGCAGCUGAUUUCAAACAGGAGCCCAAAUCGAAGUCUCUUUUGGGUCUUCUGUCCUUUUCAGAACUUUGAGAAUGUAAUGAUCAAUUCAUUAAAAAGAAAUACAA